AUACGGAGGGUGCAAGCGUUGUCCGGAAUCAUUGGGUGUAAAGGGUGUGCAGGCGGAAGUCUAAGUCGGAGGUGAAAUCUUGCCGCUUAACGGUAAAAGGGCCUUCGAAACUGGAUUUCUUGAGUUCGGAAGAGGUUGGUGGAAUUCGUGGUGUAGCGGUGAAAUGCAUAGAUAUCACGAAGAACACCGGUGGCGAAGGCGGCCAACUGGUCCGAUACUGACGCUGAGACACGAGAGCGUGGGGAGCGAACAGGAUUAGAUACCCUGGUAGUCCACGCUGUAAACGAUGCAUGUUAGUUGUUGUCCCUUCGGGGGCAGUGACGCAGUUAACGCAGUAAGCAUGCCACCUGGGGAGUACGUUCGCAAGAAUGAA
rnacentral:rRNA from 1 species